UACGGAGGAUCCAAGCGUUGUCCGGAUUUAUUGGGUUUAAAGGGUGCGUAGGCGGAUCUUUAAGUCAGUGGUGAAGCCUGCAGCUUAACUGUAGAACAGCCAUUGAAACUGAAGAUCUUGAAUGUGGUUAAAGUAGGCGGAAUGUAUCAUGUAGCGGUGAAAUGCUUAGAUAUGAUACAGAACACCGAUAGCGAAGGCAGCUUGCUGAACCAUUAUUGACGCUGAGGCACGAAAGCGUGGGGAGCCGAACAGG
rnacentral:rRNA from 1 species